rnacentral:rRNA from 1 species
UGCCAGCCGCCGCGGUAAUACGGAAGGCCCGAGCGUUAAUCGGAAUCACUGGGCUUAAAGCGUGCGCAGGCGGACCCGUAGGCAUCUCGUGAAAUCCCACAGCUCAACUGUGGAACUGCGGGGUGAACCACGGGUCUUGAGACAAGUAGGGGCUGAUGGAACCAUGGGUGGAGCGGUGAAAUGCGUAGAUAUCCAUGGGAACGCCAAUGGCGAAGGCAGUCAGCUGGGCUUGUUCUGACGCUCAGGCACGAAAGCGUGGGGAGCGAACGGGAUUAGAUA